AGAGCACAAUAAGUAGGAUGUCUACGCAUUCCUGCUGGACAGAAGAGUGACUAUACUGGCCCAGAGCAGCAAGUGUUGUGCUGUCUAAACAAAAUACCCUUCAGGACCAAGCACUGGUCAGGGCUGUUGGCCGUAAAGGAUCUGAUUAUAGCGUGGAGCAGCAAGAAUUCUGCUCGCCAUGCAAAACGGCCUUGGAACUCGACCAAAGGAGCUAAAAUGUUACUCAGGCCUGCUUGCUGGCAGUGUGCUGAUUUUGGCCCAAAGCAGAAACUGUUCUGAACACUUGACAAAACGGCAUUCAGAGCCAACCACUACUCAGAUCUAUUGUCCGUGAAGAAGCUGAUUUCAGCCCACAGCAGGAAGCAUUCCGGUCACCAGGCAAGAUGGUGUUCAGACUCGACAACAGGAAGUAGAAUGCCUACUCAAAGCUGCUGGCUGGAGGGCGACUAUAUUGGUCCAGGGCAGCAGGUAUUCUGCUCGCUAACAAAACAGCCUUCACAGCCAAGUACUACUCAGGCCUGGUGACUAGAAAGGAGCUGAAUUUGGCGCAGAGUAGCAACCAUUCUGCUAACUAGAUAAAACAGUCUUCAAACUCGAGCGCAAGAGAUGGGACUGUCUACUUGGCGGUGAGGAGCAUUUUGGUCCAGAACAGCAACUACCCUUCUAGCUAGACAAAUUGGCCUUCGGUGUCUAGUACUACUCAGAAAUGUUGGCCAGGAAGGAGCUAAUUUUACCUUGGAGAAAUCAGCAUUCCGCACACCAUGCAGAACAGCCUUCAGCCUCAAGAACAAGGAGAAUGGUGUGCUCGGUUGUCUUGGACAGGCCUAAUGUCCCCUGUGACAGGUCAGCCAGCAGUGAGAAAGUCAUUAGUAUUGGGGUGGACACCCACCUUCCAGGCAACGGGGACAGCUCAUCACCGCCGAGGAUUUUUUUCCUAUUGUGGUGGGCAUCCGCCUACUAUAAGUGCAGCCAACACACUAGCAGCACCAGGUGCCAACGUCAUGGACACUGACAAGACACCACCUGUUGGAUGGAGACGCUGUGGCUCUGCUGCUACC
rnacentral:lncRNA from 1 species